AUUUUAUUUAUUUUUUUGCAGAAAAGGAGAUGGGGUGAAGAUCCUGGCGAGCUGAUGCAUGCACAGCCCAUCAGCUGCAGCGAUGCACCCACAGCAGUGCUGCCCACGGGGCUGCGAGAGCAGGAGUGCACAUCCCCACUGAUAAGGGGUGAUGGGGAGGGGGUUCCGCCAGCACACCAGGUGCUUGGUUAGAGCUGAGUGCAGAUCUGUGGGCCAGGAGCAGCCACGUCCUGCUUGGGAUGCUCAAGCAGUUUCCACCCCCUAAGCUGCUCCGUCCCCCCCAGCCCUGUGAAGCCGGGUGUCCCCGCAAAGGAGGCUCUGUGCAGCCCAUGGGGAGGGCAGCACCUGUUCCCAAGAUAUUUUUAGGGGCAAGUUUAGGAGCAAACAAUCCCCAGCGUGCAGCCCAGCGAGACAAUGCCUGGUAUUUUAAUCCUACAUCUAUUAUGGUCGUGGAGGAACACGCAGUUGCGUGCAUGGGGCAGCUCCUGUGACGGGGGGUACAGCAGCCCCAGGUCCCACUGAAUAUGGGAUGUGCAGUUCCCAUCUCCUCCUGCUGCCAGGACACCUGUAGGACCGGUGUCAUUGGGGGAUGAUGCAGCAGCCCCCUGGCUGGUGUGGGCUUGGUGGUGGUGGUGGCAGUGGCAGUCCCAUCCUGGCUUCACCUGCUCUGCUCCCAGCAGGCACAGGAACAGCGCGGUGAAUCCCAGGCUGCAGAAGGAGGUGUUAUGGCAGCCCUUUAUAAGGCAAGAUGCCCUCAGGGCUGUGCCUCCAGCAUCUCGCCCUGGGAUUGUUCUCCGUGCACAGAGGAGCCAAAUUUAGCUGGUGACAAAGGCCCUGCAUUCCCCACAGCCCUGCCUGGGGACCGGGGCUCGGGGCGCAGUGCAGGCAAUUUUGGGAUGCCAUUGGCUCUGGGCUCAGGUUUCCUUCUCUGUAGGGACCUGGGUGGAGGGGCAGGGGCUCCCCUCAGCCCCAGGCUUUGAGCUGUAGGACCGGCAGCCAUAGGACCUGCAGGACCCAUGGGUGUCCCCCUCCCUCUGAUGUCAUGGGGACAUUUUGGGUCCCCGCCAAUGGGUCCAACCCAACCCAUCCCCACCACAGCCAUUGACCACGUCCCUCUGUGCCACAUUCUGAAUGUGUCAGAGCCCCAAAUUCAACACAUCUGACCCCUACAAGAUGGUUUGGCCACCCUAUGAAAAGCUGCCGCCCCUGACGUGGCUUUGCAGCAAUGCUGGUGGGUCCCAUCCCCAACUCUUGGCCCUGGGGCCAUCCCACCCAUCCAUCCUUGCCCUCUACUGGGCACUGUCCCCCUUUCCAUUGACCCCAGAGGUGUUUACAGAGCCAGCAGGCUUCCCAGGGCAGCCAGGAUGGAGUUAGAAACAACAGCUGAGCCUCUGCUGUCCCCUGGGACCUCACACCCCAAACAGCCACCCCCAUCCAACGCUCAGAGCCAACCCCAAACACUGAGGGCACCACAGGGCUGGGGAAGCUUCCCGUGUGUCCUCGCUCUGCUCUUGGGCUGGGCUGGAAGCACCCUGUGGGCUUCUUGCAUCCCCAGCAGCCGGAUAAACAUACACGGGUAGCGCUGGGGCUGCUGCAGGGCUCCCGGGGCUCCAUACAAGGAGCUUUUCCCAGCAAACCCAGCCCUGCACUGAGACCCUGCAGGAGUCACACCUGUGCUGCUGCUGCCCUGCGCUCCAUGCGUGUGGGUCUGCUUGCACACAGCGUGCCCCCAGCUCACCUCUGCACACCCCAUUAUACCAGAGAGGAGGAUGGGUGGAAAUCCAUCCAAGAUCUGCUUGCAAAGGGCACAGUGCAUGGCAAGCAGGCACUGACCGUCCCUCCCCAGAGACACCCGGUGCUGCUUUGGCACAGGGCCGGGCUGGAGGGACACUGUGCUGCGCCGUUCCCACACAGCCGGCUGUGCUCCCAGCAGAUCUGCACAGCCCUGGGCUGUGGGGCUCAGGCUGCAGCUUGCGGAGCUCAGCAGCUUCGGGCACUCACAUCAGCACAGCCUGUCCGGGCACAGCCCCAUUGUGAGGGAUCCCUUCCCCUGCUGCUGUCCUGCCUGCACCGCCUGGCAGCAGAACCUGACCCUAAGCCUGACCCUAACCCAACCCCAGCCACCACGGGAACACCGGGGGACGGCAGGAUGGGGGGCACAGGAGCCUGGCUGCGGGAUGCUGGCAGAUUUAAGGGGAUGUCUACGUACAACCCGUGAAGCUCUGUGCAGGAUUAGUGUUCUCCCAUAUACCGUGUGGUCCCGCAAAACAAAGCAACAAGAACAAAGCAGCAGAAGGACCUGUUGGGGUACACUCAGUACGAGGAGUUGGGGACCACAUUGUCACAGUGCCAUCCCCAGGGCAGCAUCCAGCAGCACAGCCGCAUCACCACACCAUCCUGGCGUGGUGACCGAGGGGUCCCCUCUCCAGCCCUUCCACCAUGCGGGGUCUCAUGGGGUUCGUGCCCCCAUCCACAUCCGAUGUCCCACGGCUCAGCACCGUGCUGCUUCCUUCAGGUUGGCCUCACCCAUCCCAUCCCCUGUCCUGCAGGAGAGGCCCGGGGGUCUCCGUCAGUCCAUCGUGGUCCUGGCCACAUCCAUCACCUUCGGGAGCCCCUGGUGGAGGCCCUGGUUGUGCCCUUCGCCCCACCGGUCCAAGUGGGUGCAGCCAGAGCCCCACAGCCACGCAUGCCCUGGUGCCUCACUGUCCUGCCCCAUGGCACUGGGGCCGGUGCCUGCACUGGCCUUCCUGGGGAGCCCCGAGGGCUCAGUUGCUGGCGGGGAUCCUAUUCUCCCCUCCGCCCACUGAGCUGAGCGCCGUCUCCAUCCUGCUCCGGGGACGUUGCACAGCCACGCGCUGUCCCACUGCAGCUGCGUCAUACUGCA
ensembl:lncRNA